rnacentral:siRNA from 1 species
CUAACGGCGUGCCUCGGCAUCA